CAGGUCUAUUUUGAUCGCUUUUGGCCCCUUGUCAAUUAGUAAAACUGCUGAAAUGACUCCAGACAGCCCCAGUGAUAAGAAUUGAUCAUUGAUUGUUUAAGACUUUAAGCCCUCUUCAAAGUGUAUAUGUGUUGAGUAGUUGUGGCAAUAGAGACCACAAGCCCAGAGCAACAGAGGAAGAACCCUAACCUAAAAAGCCAUUCAGAGGAGUGAUUUGCUGUUACAACUUCAUAACUAAUUUCAAUAUCUUUCUCUAUUACCUUAAGCUGCAAUAACAUCCAUGUCUGCCUCAGUUUUUGCACCCCAAAUUCACACAUCCACUACAAUAACAUCCAGACUCAAACCUAAACCAAAACACAGAAUCAAAACUAGCGUUUCACUCAUCAGAACUCCAGUAAUACAAGCCAGUUUCUCUGACCCCUUCGUUCUCCAACUUGCUGAGACCUUUGAAGAUUCCCUCUCUCCCUCUCCCUCGCCCUCUCUCCAGAAACUCAGGGACUCUUCCGCUGAAUCCCUUCUCUCCAUCCCUUGGCCCUCUCGCAAAGAUGAGCCUUUUCGGUUCACAGACACUUCAUUUAUCAAGCAAUCUCAAAUCCAUCCAAUCUCUAAGCCACCAUCCUCAUACCACCUAACAAACAUUUCAAAUGAUAGCCACUUACCCAAUAUUGUUAUUGUUGAUGGGUUUAUCUUAAAUUCUUUGUCAAAUUCUUCAAAUUUGCCACAUGGGGUUUAUGUAGGUAGCUUGUUAAAUGACCCUAAAGAUAAAAUCGCCCAAACAUUAACCAAAUUUUCUGAUGAUUUCCAAUGGGGUGAUUUGUUUUGGUCCAUUAAUGGAUUAGGGGCACCCGAUGUGGCCGUGGUUUAUGUUCCUGCAGGGGUUAGAGUAGAGAAUCCAAUCCAUUUGAGUUAUGUUUCAGUUGAGGGAGGGGAGGAGGGAUCUAACAAGUUGCCAGUUUCAAAUCCAAGGGUCCUUGUGGUGGUAGAGGAAGGAGGAGAGGUUGGGAUAAUUGAGGAGUUUACAAAUGUAGGGAGCAAUGAUAAAUGUUAUUGGGCAAAUUCUGUCUUGGAAGUGAUGAUUGAAGAAGGAGCAAAGGUCAGGCAUUCCUAUAUACAGAGCCAAUCCUUAAAUUCUGCCCAUAUCAAGUGGACUUCGGUUCAACAGAAAUCUACUAGCACCUAUGAGCUUGUUGAGGUAAGCACUGGCGGAAAAUUGAGCAGGCACAAUUUCCAUCUUCAGCAGCUGGGCCCAGAUACAUCAACAGAGUUAUCAGCAUUUCAUUUGUCUCUCGGUGGGCAAACACAAGACCUGCAUAGUAGGCUUGUCUUGGAUCAUCCUAGGGCUUACUCGAGACAACUUCACAAGUGCAUUGUUGCUCAUUCACAAGGACAAGCUGUCUUUGAUGGGAAUGUAAAGGUCAACAGAUAUGCACAACAGACAGAUGCUGGACAAUUAACAAGGAGCCUCCUUCUAGAACCACGUGCAACUGUAAAUGUCAAACCCAAUUUGCAAAUUAUAGCAGAUGAUGUAAAGUGCUCCCAUGGAGCUGCAAUAAGUGAUCUAGAAGAAAGUCAGCUCUUCUACUUUCAAGCACGUGGUAUUGAUUUAGAGAUGGCUAGAAAAGCUCUGGUAUUUUCCUUUGGAGCUGAAGUGAUUGAACGAUGUCCUUAUUCUUUUGUUAGAAAACAAGUUGAGAAUCAUGUAAAAGAAUUGCUGAGUUCUACUAGUCAAGGAUCCUCAAAUGCAGCUGGCAGUGGAUGAUCUGUGUGCUUGUGCACAAGAUAGAAAGGAUUAGCAUUGUUUAACAGGGAAAGAAAGUUGCUGUCAUCUAAUGUUGGAAAAUUUUGUGUUUGCAUCGAGUAGCUCUUAAUGUUUUAUUUGGUUUUCUGAUUCAUGCUAGCUAGAGGUGGAAAGGGAAAGUGUUCCACUACCAUCAAGUGGUGUAUAUGAUAUUUUCUUUCACCUUAUUGUAUAAUUGCUAUGAACCUUGUGGACAGAACAAGAAAAUAAAGCAGGGUACUUUA
rnacentral:misc_RNA from 1 species